GUUAAGGGGACAUUCAAUAUAAUUGGAACGAACAUAGAAGAUUAGUAUGGCCCUUGCACAAGGAUGACACGUAUAAAUUGAGAAAUGGUCCAAAUUUUA